rnacentral:rRNA from 1 species
GACGAAGGGGCUAGCGUUGUUCGGAAUUACUGGGCGUAAAGCGCGUGUAGGCGGUUUGCCAAGUUGGGUGUGAAAGCCUUGAGCUCAACUCAAGAAAUGCACUCAGUACUGGCAGACUAGAGGACCGGAGAGGAUAGUGGAAUUCCCAGUGUAGUGGUGAAAUACGUAGAGAUUGGGAAGAACACCAGUGGCGAAGGCGGCUAUCUGGACGGUUUCUGACGCUAAGACGCGAAAGCGUGUGGAGCGAACGGGAUUAGAUACCCUGGUAGU